rnacentral:rRNA from 1 species
UCCGUAGGGUGAACCUGCGGAAGGAUCAUUAUCGAGUAAACAAGGGAGUUGUAGCUGGCCGCAAGGCAUGUGCACGCUUUCUACUCAAAUCCAGCCUUACACCUGUGCAUCUACUGUAGGUCGGAUGGACCUGGCUUUGCUGGGGCUGUCUGCCUAUGUUUUCAUACAUAUACUCUUAUAGUCUCGGAAUGUCAUCUGUGUGUGUAACACAUUUUAAAACAACUUUCAACAACGGAUCUCUUGGCUCUCGCAUCGAUGAAGAACGCAGCGAAAUGCGAUAAGUAAUGUGAAUUGCAGAAUUCAGUGAAUCAUCGAAUCUUUGAACGCAUCUUGCGCUCCUUGGUAUUCCGAGGAGCAUGCCUGUUUGAGUGUCAUGAAAUUCUCAACUUUACCACUUUUGUGGUAUGAGCUUGGACUUGGAGGCAUGCUGGCCUGAAGGUCGGCUCCUCUCUAAAUGCAUUAGCUGAACCCGUUGCGGAUCAGGUACUCGGCGUGAUAAUUGUCUACGCCGUGGCUGUGAAGCGUUGGAAAGAUCGGCUUCUAAACCCAUGUUAUUCUGACCAUUUGACCUCAAAUCAGGUAGGGUACCCGCUGAACUUAAGCAUAUCAAUAAGCGGAGGA